rnacentral:rRNA from 1 species
GAUCAUGGCUCAGAUUGAACGCUGGCGGCAUGCCUUACACAUGCAAGUCGAACGGCAGCGACGGGGGGCAACCCUGGUGCGAGUGGCGGACGGGUGAGUAAAGCAUCGGAACGUAUCCUGGAGUGGGGAUAACGUAGCGAAAGUUACGCUAAUACCGCAUAUUCUGUGAGCAGGAAAGCAGGGGAUCGCAAGACCUUGCGCUCUGGGAGCGGCCGAUGUCGGAUUAGCUAGUUGGUGGGUAAAGGCCUACCAAGGCGACGAUCCGUAGCGGGUCUGAGAGGAUGAUCCGCCACACUGGGACUGAGACACGGCCCAGACUCCUACGGGAGGCAGCAGUGGGGAAUUUUGGACAAUGGGCGGAAGCCUGAUCCAGCCAUGCCGCGUGAGUGAAGAAGGCCUUCGGGUUGUAAAGCUCUUUCGGCGGGGAAGAAAUUGCACGGGUUAAUACCCUGUGUAGAUGACGGUACCCGAAUAAGAAGCACCGGCUAACUACGUG